GUGAAUCAUCGAAUUUUUGAACGCAAAUUGCGCUUCCUGGCAUUCCGGGAAGUAUGUCUGUUUGAGGGUCAGUAUUAACAACAAAUCGGUUUGGUUGCAAAUUGUGAUGUUUUCGGAGUUUGGGCUAUCUUAACUUUUUUGGUUAAGGGGAUUAAAAUUGACUUUUUUUGUGCAUUUUUAGACGUACAUGAAUUUUUUUUUUUUUCGUUUUUUCUUAAUUACAAUAUCAUAUUAGAUGCGAUUACAUCGUGUU
rnacentral:misc_RNA from 1 species